UAGAACAAAGAAGUAUAAGACAGUUAAGUUCCAAGACUAUCAGUUUGGACAGUCAUGUACACCCAUGUAAUUAUCACUGAAAGAAGAUUCAAAGUAUUUCCAUCACCCCAGAAAAUAUACUCACACCAUACCACUUUCCAUGCAAUAUUCCACACCUGGAGCAGCCCCUUUACAUCUUCUAUCAUCUAAUGACAAUUUUACCUGCUCUAGAAUUUCAUAUAAAUGGAAUAAAAGAUGCAGUUUGCUAUUGAAAGACAUGAACAAUGUGC
rnacentral:lncRNA from 10 species